rnacentral:rRNA from 1 species
GAUGAACGCUGGCGGCGUGCCUAAUACAUGCAAGUCGAGCGAACAGACGAGGAGCUUGCUCCUUUGACGUUAGCGGCGGACGGGUGAGUAACACGUAGGUAACCUACCUAUAAGACUGGGAUAACUUCGGGAAACCGGAGCUAAUACCGGAUAAUAUUUCGAACCGCAUGGUUCGAUAGUGAAAGAUGGCUUUGCUAUCACUUAUUGAUGGACCUGCGCCGUAUUAGCUAGUUGGUAAGGUAACGGCUUACCAAGGCAACGAUACGUAGCCGACCUGAGAGGGUGAUCGGCCACACUGGAACUGAGACACGGUCCAGACUCCUACGGGAGGCAGCAGUAGGGAAUCUUCCGCAAUGGGCGAAAGCCUGACGGAGCAACGCCGCGUGAGUGAUGAAGGUCUUCGGAUCGGAAAACUCUGUUAUUAGGGAAGAACAAAAGUGUAAGUAACUGUGCACGUCUUGACGGUACCUAAUCAGAAAGCCACGGCUAACUACGUG